AACGGGUGAGUAACACGUGGGUGAUCUGCCCUGUACUUCGGGAUAAGCCUGGGAAACUGGGUCUAAUACCGGAUAUGACCUUACAUCGCAUGGUGUUUGGUGGAAAGAUUUAUCGGUACAGGAUGGGCCCGCGGCCUAUCAGCUUGUUGGUGGGGUAAUGGCCUACCAAGGCGACGACGGGUAGCCGGCCUGAGAGGGCGACCGGCCACACUGGGACUGAGACACGGCCCAGACUCCUACGGGAGGCAGCAGUGGGGAAUAUUGCACAAUGGGCGAAAGCCUGAUGCAGCGACGCCGCGUGAGGGAUGACGGCCUUCGGGUUGUAAACCUCUUUCGACAGGGACGAAGCGCAAGUGACGGUACCUGUAGAAGAAGCACCGGCCAACUACGUGCCAGCAGCCGCGGUAAUACGUAGGGUGCGAGCGUUGUCCGGAAUUACUGGGCGUAAAGAGCUUGUAGGCGGUUUGUCGCGUCGUCCGUGAAACUUGGGGCUCAACCCCAAGCUUGCGGGCGAUACGGGCAGACUUGAGUACUGCAAGGGAGACUGGAAUUCCUGGUGUAGCGGUGAAAUGCGCAGAUAUCAGGAGGAACACCGGUGGCGAAGGCGGGAUCUCUGGGCAGUAACUGAC
rnacentral:rRNA from 1 species